AGCGUUGUUCGGAAUUACUGGGGGUAAAGGGUUCGUAGGCGGUGCGGCAAGUCGGGAGUGAAAUCUCUGGGCUUAACCCAGAGGCUGCUUCCGAAACUGCUGUGCUUGAGUGUGGGAGAGGCGCGUGGAAUUGCAGGUGUAGCGGUGAAAUGCGUAGAUAUCUGCAGGAACACCCGUGGCGAAAGCGGCGCGCUGGACCACUACUGACGCUGAGGAACGAAAGCUAGGGGAGCAAACAGG
rnacentral:rRNA from 1 species